rnacentral:rRNA from 1 species
ACGCUCGACACCUACGGGAGGAGCAGUGGGGAAUAUUGCACAAUGGAGGAAACUCUGAUGCAGCGAUGCCGCGUGAGGGAAGAAGGUUUUCGGAUUGUAAACCUCUGUCUUUGGGGACGAUAAUGACGGUACCCAAGGAGGAAGCUCCGGCUAACUACGUGCCAACAGCCGCGGUAAUCUGAGCGGGCUGGCAAGGC